rnacentral:misc_RNA from 1 species
GAUGAAGAACACAGCGAAAUGCGAUACUUGGUGUGAAUUGCAGAAUCCCGUGAACCAUCGAGUCUUUGAACGCAAGUUGCGCCCGAAGCCAUUAGGCCGAGGGCACGCCUGCCUGGGCGUCACACGUCGUUGCCCCCCCAUCUACUCCUUCGGGAUUGCGGGGGGCGGAUGAUGGCCUCCCGUGCGCCUCGUCGCGCGGUUGGCAUAAAUGCCAAGUCCUCGGCGACGCACGCCACGACAAUCGGUGGUUGCGAAACCUCGGUUGCCCGUCGUGUGCGGUCGUCGCGCAUCGAGGGCUCGAAAAAAUUGCCGGGCUCCGGCUCGGCUUUCAACGCGACCCCAGGUCAGGCGGGGUUACCCGCUGAAUUUAAGCAUAUCAAUAGCGGAGGA